GACGAACGCUGGCGGCGUGCUUAACACAUGCAAGUCGAACGGAAAGGCCCCUUUGGGGGUACUCGAGUGGCGAACGGGUGAGUAACACGUGAGUAACCUGCCCUUGACUUCGGGAUAACUUCAGGAAACUGGGGCUAAUACCGGAUAGGAAUCCUUGCUGCAUGGUGGGGGUUGGAAAGCUUCGGCGGUUUUGGAUGGACUCGCAGCUUAUCAGCUUGUUGGUGGGGUAGUGGCUUACCAAGGCUUUGACGGGUAGCCGGCCUGAGAGGGCGACCGGCCACAUUGGGACUGAGAUACGGCCCAGACUCCUACGGGAGGCAGCAGUGGGGAAUAUUGCACAAUGGGCGGAAGCCUGAUGCAGCAACGCCGCGUGCGGGAUGACGGCCUUCGGGUUGUAAACCGCUUUCAGCAGGGGCGAAGCUUGUGGUGACGGUACCUGCAGAAGAAGCACUGGCUAACUACGUG
rnacentral:rRNA from 1 species